AAAUAGAUACCCCUGGGUAGUCCACGCCGUAAACGAUGAGUGCUAGGUGUUGGGGGGGUUCCACCCUCAGUGCUGAAGUUAACACAUUAAGCACUCCGCCUGGGGAGUACGACCGCAAGGUUGAAACUCAAAGGAAUUGACGGGGGCCCGCACAAGCAGUGGAGCAUGUGGUUUAAUUCGAAGCAACGCGAAGAACCUUACCAGGUCUUGACAUCCUUUGACCACUCUAGAGAUAGAGCUUUCCCCUUCGGGGGACAAAGUGACAGGUGGUGCAUGGUUGUCGUCAGCUCGUGUCGUGAGAUGUUGGGUUAAGUCCCGCAACGAGCGCAACCCUUGACCUUAGUUGCCAGCAUUCAGUUGGGCACUCUAAGGUGACUGCCGGUGACAAACCGGAGGAAGGUGGGGACGACGUCAAAUCAUCAUGCCCCUUAUGACCUGGGCUACACACGUGCUACAAUGGAUGAUACAAAGGGUUGCGAAGCCGCGAGGCCAAGCCAAUCCCAAAAAGUCAUUCUCAGUUCGGAUUGUAGG
rnacentral:rRNA from 1 species